rnacentral:tRNA from 2 species
UCAGUAAAUAGUUUAUUUAAAAUUUAGGUUUUGGAAAUUUAAGAUGUGAUUUUCAUUUUACUGAU